rnacentral:lncRNA from 1 species
AACGGCCUCCGCCCCUUUCUCCAGGUCACCCAGGCUCACGCCCUGGCCCGAUGGGCCGCCGCUGGCGCCGCCGCAGCCCACCCGGGACGGCUCAGUGAAGAAGGACGGGGGCAGGUUUCGGGCACGCAGAGGAACCUUCCUGGUGCCGGGAGCCACUGAGCUCACCGCGAUGCCCGCCCCGUCUCCCGCAGCGCUUGCUGCCCCGAGGCUCGAGGCUGACACCGCCUCCGCACCGCCAGCCGUUUCUGCACCCCCCGGGAUGUGGCGCAGAGAGUCGAAAAGGGCAGCCAGGCUCCGGCUCUGCAGGCUGGCCGCAGCUGCAGCCUGGGUCGCCUCCCUCCGCGGGGCGGCCUUACAGUGCGCUGGGGUCGCGACGGUCGGGGCUCCGGGGGCUCCUGUCGGCCGUUUGGCUGGAGCGUCUGCGGCGCUCGGGGACGCCGGUCUCGGAGGUGCUGACCCCAUGAGGCCACUGCAGCGCUUGAUCUGCUUCUGCAAGUACUUGCGGUGGUUCACUUUCCGCUUGGACUUGCCUGGCUUGUCCAGCGCCAGCUUGAUGUUGCUGGACGCCGAGUCUAUGAAGCUGAGCAGGUCGCGGGUGGCCUCGCGCACGUCCCCGCCCUCGGACCCCGACAGCAGCGCUCCCGCGGACGCCCCGCUCUCAUCGUCUUCGAAACAGCAGCCCUUGUCCAGACUUCCGAAGGCGCUCACCAGCCCGUCCGCGGAGCCUCCGAAACCGAAGGGUAUGAAGGGGUGCGAGCUGAGCAGCGCAGCCUGCACCGCCAUCGCCGCGGCUCCCCGGCUGUCCGCAGCGCGGCCCGUGCGCACCCGGCUCGCUCCAGCCCAGGCGAGGCGCUGUCUGCUCGCUCCGACCCAGGCUCUCGGCUCAGCCUCCCGGGGGAGCUCAUUAGAUCUUGUGUUGCUCCAUAGAGUGAGUGGAUCUUCUGCUGCAGUCUCAAGCAGAGGUCUCCAAGACAGAGGGGAAGGCUUUGAUUUCUCAGUAAUGAUUCUCCUUCUGCCUGGAAACGUGGGACUUUAAACAAGUCCUUCUGCGCGGAAUCCUCUGUCACUCAGUCUUUAUUCAAAUUCUUGGGGACACUAGACUCCAGUUGCGUCGAUGUGCAGUGGCAUCUGUCGGAACAAAGCACAAGUCGGCUGUGAGAUCACAGAGGCUUGCAGCAAAAUGUAAAAAUGCAAGAUGGAAACACCCAGGGCUGAGGUAAGGCCUGGCCACGGGAACAGCCCAACAGCUCAAUAUCCGGCUCACCAGACGGAAAUGCUUAAAGACCUCCAUCCUAUUAUACGAGGUUGAAUUCAUUCAAUUAAAGAGCUUAAGCAGCUCCGAUCAGCCACUGGAACACAUCUCUGCAGAACACUAAAACAAUGGCUUGGAGGGACAUUUGAGGUUUAUUUUCUCUUGUGGGAGGCCAGCUGGAGUUACCCAGUACACAGCCACACUGGGGAGGGCGGACACUGCAUAAUUGUAUUAAGCCUGCCUGUUCUUUGAGGAGAAUGCUUCCUGACUACAUCAAGAGAGGAAAUGAGUUAAAAGGGGGUGGGGGAACACUUUAAAGUCUUAGGACACUACACUUAGGUUUUAAGCCCUCUCCCCUCACCCUUAAAAUCACUUCUGAGAGGAGAAACUGAGUGUUGACUCUCCCAUCAAUGGCUAAUUUUGCUGUACUGUCAUUAUUCUUUCUUCAUGAUUAUUAAAUUGUCUUUCAUGGAGCAAUCAUGACAUU